CAAGUCGAGAGCAGCUGAGUUUCACUUUAAAUUCAAAAGGCUACACAUUAGCAGAGAUUCCCUUAUCCCUGUUUCCCGGACUAGACCGAAAGGAGCCGAACGCUUUCCGAAGCUCCUGGACGCUCCACUACGACUGCGUCGAUCUUUUAGUGGAGAGAAGAUUCUUGCUAGCUAAACGCGCAAACUGACGGCGAACUUCCAAAGCUUAAAUGGUAGCCAUUUUUAAAUAAUGCUAUAAAAUGGAGACGGAUGAGCAAUUCGGUGGAAGCUGAGCGUUUAAACUGACUGUUUCCCACGGAGCAGUGAGUUAGCUGGAGCUGCUUGACGAGCUAAUGCUGCUACAGAGCCACAUCACCAAACACUCCCGGAAACAGAACUUUCUCCGCUCCGAUUGGACAGCUGGGAUCUGUAAGAGACCGUUGACAAAUUUAAAGGCGUACACACCUCUUUUCUCCUCGGGGAGUGUCUGACUAAAUUUACCAACUCAAACACGACGAAUAAUGACAGUUAACUGAACUUACACAGUUUGUAAUGAUGGCAAGACAUGACCAAAGAGUCAAACUGAUUGUGAACCACGGGAAGCAGUUGGGGAGGAGUCUGCUCCUCUUGGCCCGCUACACUACGCUGUUUGGGGAGUAUUGUGGGCGUUUUGUUCAGGGGAUAGUGGCGGCUAUGAAGUGGACCAGCCUGUUUGCAAGGACCACAGCAUCGGUUUUUGACUUCAUCUACCAGUGGGGGAAGAGGACAACCGUCAGCACCAAGGAGAUCUGCUUGGACCGGUGACUUUUUAAACAGACUGACCAUGAUGGAAACUUGGACCUCAAUAAACUGUAAUAGUUGAAUAUUUGUGUAUACGAUUACAUACUUGAUGUUUUCAGUCAUUCACCUACCUGCUGUUAUUACUACUUCAGGUGUGUCACAGAGCAACGGGAACAUUCCACAAAAUUUAUUAAUUAUAUAUGUAUAUAUAACAAUUUAAUAACUUUGUAAACACUUUAUACUGUAAUUAACUUUUUAAAAUAAGUUUUGUUUUUAUUUUGACAUUUAAUUUCAUGUGACAGCUACUAUUAAUUUAGUUUAAUACUUUAUCCAUAAUGGAAAUCUAAUGUCUUGACUCAUAUCUUCAAAGCUGUUGUGGAUGGCGAUGCUGUUUGGCAGGAAGGAUCUCCAGCAGCAGUCAAUCAUCCAAUGAAUCUGAAGAGGCCUCUGACUGAAGACUGUUUGAUAUGCUAACAUUUCAGCAUCUGGGCAGCAGAGAUACUAUUCCACAGCAACAUGUCCUGGAUGACGGCAUCAGUUGUUGUCAAACCUGGCUAAUCCACCUCAUUUCAGAGGGAUGUUGGAGUAGGGGAUACAACAUACUUUAUGAUAAAUGGGAGAGACAAUUUGAACUUCCUCCUUCUCUCUUUCAGUUUUUUGGUUCAUAAAAUCUUUUCAAGUCUGUGUUGUAAUUCAGGUUUUAUCUGAGCUUUUGAGAUGCCAACCAGCUACUACCUAAAAAACUGUAAAUUGUUGCCACGGUUACGCACAACAUCCAAAAGUAAAAAUAAAAAAAGAAGAAAUCCUUCCAGCUGGACAGUAUCUACAAGGAGGAAUAAUUGUUCAACAAAUCAACAAAUAAAAAAAGAACAAAUGCAAAAAAAAAGGGAAUAAAUCUUAACAGAGACACUCCAACAUCCUUUUAGAAAAACAAACAGGUGAAAACAUGCAUUUCAUUGUUUUUUGAAACUACUUCCACUUGACAGGUGCACUAUUUUCUCCUAAUGCCACUAAGACCAGAUGGUUUCCUGUGGUUCCUGAACUCUCAGUGUGCUGUAUUGAAAUAAACGUCUUCACUAAU